rnacentral:rRNA from 1 species
GCCGCAUUCUAUGAUUAUGAAAUAUGGCAAAUGGACGUCAAAACGGCAUUCCUUAAUGGUUUCCUUAAGGAAGAAUUGUAUAUGAUGCAGCCGGAAGGUUUUGUCGAUCCUAAGAAUGCUGACAAAGUGUGCAAGCUCCAACGCUCGAUUUAUGGGCUGGUGCAAGCAUCUCGGAGUUGGAACAUUCGCUUUGAUGAGAUGAUCAAAGCGUUUGGGUUUACGCAGACUUAUGGAGAAGCCUGCGUUUACAAGAAAGUGAGUGGAAGCUCUGUAGCAUUUCUCAUAUUAUAUGUAGAUGACAUACUUUUGAUG